rnacentral:rRNA from 1 species
GAUGAACGCUGGCGGCGUGCCUAAUACAUGCAAGUCGAGCGAACGGACGAGAAGCUUGCUUUUCUGAUGUUAGCGGCGGACGGGUGAGUAACACGUGGAUAACCUACCUAUAAGACUGGGAUAACUUCGGGAAACCGGAGCUAAUACCGGAUAAUAUUUUGAACCGCAUGGUUCAAAAGUGAAAGACGGUCUUGCUGUCACUUAUAGAUGGAUCCGCGCUGCAUUAGCUAGUUGGUAAGGUAACGGCUUACCAAGGCAACGAUGCAUAGCCGACCUGAGAGGGUGAUCGGCCACACUGGAACUGAGACACGGUCCAGACUCCUACGGGAGGCAGCAGUAGGGAAUCUUCCGCAAUGGGCGAAAGCCUGACGGAGCAACGCCGCGUGAGUGAUGAAGGUCUUCGGAUCGUAAAACUCUGUUAUUAGGGAAGAACAUAUGUGUAAGUAACUGUGCACAUCUUGACGGUACCUAAUCAGAAAGCCACGGCGAACUACGU